CGGUGAAUACGUUCCCGGACCUUGCACACACCGCCCGUCAAGCCAUGGAAGCUGGGUGUACCUAAAGUCGGUAACCGCAAGGAGCCGCUUAGGGUAAACUAGUAACUGGGGCU
rnacentral:rRNA from 1 species